UGGGGAAUAUUGGACAAUGGGCGAAAGCCUGAUCCAGCCAUGCCGCGUGAGUGAUGAAGGCCUUAGGGUUGUAAUGCUCUUUUGGCGGGGACGAUAAUGACGGUACCCGCAGAAUAAGCCCCGGCUAACUUCGUGCCAGCAGCCGCGGUAAUACGAAGGGGGCUAGCGUUGUUCGGAAUUACUGGGCGUAAAGCGCACGUAGGCGGAUCAGCAAGUCAGGGGUGAAAUCCCGGGGCUCAACCUCGGAACUGCCUCUGAUACUGCUAGUCUAGAGUCCGGAAGAGGUGGGUGGAAUUCCUAGUGUAGAGGUGAAAUUCGCAGAUAUUAGGAAGAACACCGGUGGCGAAGGCGGCCCACUGGUCCGGUACUGACGCUGAGGUGCGAAAGCGUGGGAGCAAACAGGAUUAGAUACCCCAGUAGUCCCUGAGCGGGCUGGCAAGGCGCAU
rnacentral:rRNA from 1 species